rnacentral:lncRNA from 1 species
AAUUGUUUGGUUUUUUUUUUUUUGCCUUGUCUUUGUGAACUUCAACUUCUUGCUCCUGCCAACAUGCCCCCCACCAUGACAGACUCUUGUUCCUUUGGAACCAAGACCCAAGAUAAUCCUUUUCUUCGGAAAGCUGCCUUGACCAUUGUAUUUCAGCACAUAGUUUCAAGAUGCACCAAGAAUUGGACAAAAGCCAGGCAGUGGUGGUGGCACAUUCCUUUAAUCCCAGUACUUGGGAGGUGGAGGCAGGUGGACUUCUGUUCAUUGAGGCCAUUCAGAUGUACAGAGCAAGUUCCAAGACAGCCUGAACUGUUAUGCGGUGAAACCCUUCCACAAAAAGGUAAAAAGAACUAGAUAAAUUUAAAUUUAGUUUUAAUAUUCUAAAUAAAUGAUAAGUUAAAAUUUUCUACUGAACA